rnacentral:misc_RNA from 1 species
GAAAUGCGAUAAGUAAUGUGAAUUGCAGAAUUCAGUGAAUCAUCGAAUCUUUGAACGCACCUUGCGCUCCUUGGUAUUCCGAGGAGCAUGCCUGUUUGAGUGUCGUGAAAUUUCUCAACCUUUCUAGCUUUUAUAUAUGUUAGUCAGGUUUGGAUUGUGGAGGUUGCUGGCUUUUUUCAAAAGUCAGCUCUUCUUAAAGACAUUAGCGAGAUCAUAGCUGGAUCGUCUUUGGUAUGAUAAUUAUCUAUACCACUGAGAAUCAGUUUCCUUCAUGGAAGAUUUUGCUUCUAAUCGUCUCAAUGUAGACAACACUUUGACAAUUUUGACCUCAAAUCAGGUAGGACUACCCGCUGAACUUAA